ACGAACGCUGGCGGCAUGCCUAACCCAUGCCAGUCGAACGAGACCUUCGGGUCUAGUGGCGCACGGGUGCGUAACGCGUGGGAACCUGCCCUUAGGUUCGGAAUAACUCCCCGAAAGGGGUGCUAAUACCGGAUAAUGUCUUCGGACCAAAGAUUUAUCGCCUUUGGAUGGGCCCGCGUUGGAUUAGCUAGUUGGUAGGGUAAAAGCCUACCAAGGCGGCGAUCCAUAGCUGGUCUGAGAGGAUGAUCAGCCACACUGGGACUGAGACACGGCCCAGACUCCUACGGGAGGCAGCAGUGGGGAAUAUUGGACAAUGGGCGAAAGCCUGAUCCAGCAAUGCCGCGUGAGUGAUGAAGGCCUUAGGGUUGUAAAGCUCUUUUACCCGGGAUGAUAAUGACAGUACCGGGAGAAUAAGCUCCGGCUAACUCCGUG
rnacentral:rRNA from 1 species